AACGAACGCUGGCGGCAGGCCUAACACAUGCAAGUCGAGCGAACUCUUCGGAGUUAGCGGCGGACGGGUUAGUAACGCGUGGGAAUAUACCCAAAGGUACGGAACAACAGUUGGAAACGACUGCUAAUACCGUAUGUGCCCUACGGGGGAAAGAUUUAUCGCCUUUGGAUUAGCCCGCGUUGGAUUAGGUAGUUGGUGGGGUAACGGCCUACCAAGCCUACGAUCCAUAGCUGGUUUGAGAGGAUGAUCAGCAACACUGGGACUGAGACACGGCCCAG
rnacentral:rRNA from 1 species